UACAGGGGGUGCAAACGUUGCUCGGAAUUAUUGGGCGUAAAGCGCACGUAGGCGGUCUGUUAUGUCGGAUGUGAAAGCCCUUGGCUCAACUGAGGAAGUGCAUCCGAAACUGGCAGGCUGGAGUACGUAAGAGGGUCGCGGAAUUCCCGGUGUAGAGGUGAAAUUCGUAGAUAUUCGCAAGAACACCAGUGGCGAAGGCGGCUCACUGGCCCGGUACUGACGCUGAGGUGCGAAAGCGUGGGGAGCAAACAGG
rnacentral:rRNA from 1 species